GAUGAAGAACGUAGCGAAAUGCGAUACUUGGUGUGAAUUGCAGAAUCCCGUGAACCAUCGAGUCUUUGAACGCACAUUGCGCCCCCUGGUAUUCCGGGGGGCAUGCCUGUCCGAGCGUCAUUGCUGCCCUCAAGCACGGCUUGUGUGUUGGGCCCCCGCCCCCCGGCUUCGGGGGGCGGGCCCGAAAGGCAGCGGCGGCACCGCGUCCGGUCCUCGAGCGUAUGGGGCUUCGUCACCCGCUCUGUAGGCCCGGCCGGCGCCCGCCGGCGACCCCAAUCAAUCUUUCCAGGUUGACCUCGGAUCAGGUAGGGAUACCCGCUGAACUUAAGCAUAUCAAUAAGCGGAGGA
rnacentral:misc_RNA from 1 species